rnacentral:rRNA from 1 species
AGCAGCCGCGGUAAUUCCAGCUCCAAUAGCGUAUAUUAAAGUUGUUGCAAGUUAAAAGCUCGUAGUUGAAUUUCGGGAUCAGUAUGUUGGUCGUGCUUCGGUACGUACUGUCAUUACUGGUUUCUACCUUCUGAAGAACCUUGAUGUCAUUAAUUUGGUGUCUUGGGGAAUCAGGACUGUUACUUUGAAAAAAUUAGAGUGUUUAAAGCAAGCAUACGCUUGAAUACAUUAGCAUGGAAUAAUGAAAUAGGACGUUUGAUUCUAUUUUGUUGGUUUCUAGGAUCGACGUAAUGAUUAAUAGGGAUAGUUGGGGGCAUUAGUAUUCAAUUGUCAGAGGUGAAAUUCUUGGAUUUAUUGAAGACUAACUACUGCGAAAGCAUUUGCCAAGGAUGUUUUCAUUAAUCAAGAACGAAAGUUAGGGAUCGAAGACGAUCAGAUACCGUCGUAGUC